rnacentral:tRNA from 1 species
GGGCCGUUAGCUCAGUUGGUAGAGCAGGAGACUCUUAAUCUCAAGGUCGUUGGUUCGAGCCCAACACGGCCCA